GUACAACUGUACAAAGCUUGUUAUCUUUGUAAUGUACACAAUAUUGUGUGACUCAUAUUGAAACUGGCGUGGUCACACACGAUCUGUGUAACAAGCAUGUUUAUAAUUAUACAUAUAGGCUUUUUACAACAAGUAUGGAAUGUUAUAUAAUUGAUUAUUUAUAGCAUGUUAAGCCAAAUAUUUAGAAGAAAUCCACGAAUGUCUAUAUUGUGCAUACGAUUUUAUUUCCGAACCACACCUAUUUGUAUUCGUGUAUAUGUUUAAGAAGUGUCUGCACGGUUUGACGAUGUUUGAGUUUAUAUAAUAUACAAUGUACUCGGUACCAAGCGUCAAAAUCCACUUUUUUCUCACUUGUUAUUGAGUAGAUAAUGGUGUCAUUUCCUAAUUGAUAAAUUUGGGGAAUUUAGGGUGAUAUUGAUUUCUUGUGCCGUGAUGCUUAUUUUGGCAGUUAACGAACGUGUGUUUUACUUCGAAGCUCCUCAAAUUUAUCAAUAAGUAAAAGGAGACCGGGAUUCACAUUUGUUGAUUAUUUGUCUUCCGAUAUUUGAUAGAAUUCCAGAUUGUUUUUCAUGUGUUAACAUUUCAUUCAUAAUAAAAUUUCACCUAAUACACUU
rnacentral:misc_RNA from 1 species